rnacentral:lncRNA from 1 species
CCCCGAUUUUGUUUUUUGUCCAUGAAUUUAUGAGUUUGAACAGCGGUAUACUACUGUUGCCUUUAUUUAUACCCAUUUUUAUAUCUUGAAAAUGAUAAAAAAAAAAAAGAAAAAAAAGAGUUAAAAACAUAAUGAAGCAAUAAAGACAAUAGUUACAAUUAUAAGUCAAAUAAAAUAAAUAUGAUGCGACUGUUAUACAAGUG